AUUCAAUUCACAUGUAACUCCCAACGCUCCUUCUGUCCCAUAGAUUGCUGUGGAAUGCAAGGACAAUCUAGAAGUCUCUGCACACACAGGGUUUGAAUUUGCAAGAAGGAGCAUCCUACUGGUAAGCUCCUCUCCGCAACACAGAGCCAUGCUAGUACAGAGGUGCUGAAGCUUCCCAGAUGUUCAGCAAAAUACUGUCUUCUUCAGCAAAAGUCUGAAGUGGCGUUUAAGUCAAAUGAAAAUGCCUGCCUG
rnacentral:lncRNA from 1 species